rnacentral:rRNA from 1 species
CACCCGUUCGCCGCUCUCAAAUCUUUUUAGCAAGCUAAAAAGAUUUGAGAGCGGCGAACGGGUGAGUAACACGUUGGAAUCUGCCCCCAAGUCAGGGAUAGCCAUUGGAAACGAUGAUUAAUACCGGAUGUGCUCUUCGGAGUAAAGAUUUAUCGUUUGGGGAGGAUCCUGCGUACUAUCAGCUAGUUGGUGAGGUAAUAGCUCACCAAGGCUAUGACGGUUAACUGGUCUGAGAGGAUGAUCAGUCACAAUGAAACUGAGACACGGUUCAUACUCCUACGGGAGGCAGCAGUGAGGAAUCUUCCACAAUGGACGAAAGUCUGAUGGAGCGACACCGCGUGAAGGAUGACGGUCUAACGAUUGUAAACUUCUUUUCUGAAGGAGCAUAAUGAGAGUACUUCAGGAAUAAGGGACGGCUAAAUACGUGCCAGCAGCCGCGGUAAUACGUAUGUCCCAAGCGUUACCCGGAAUUAUUGGGUGUAAAGGGUCCGUAGGUGGAUUUGUAAGUCAGGUAUGAAAGACCGAAGCUCAACUUCGCGUUUGUGCUUGAAACUGCAGGUCUAGAAUCAGGGAGAGGUUAGCGGAAUUCUUAGUGUAGGGGUGCAAUCCGUAGAUACUAAGAAGAACACCAAAAGCGAAGGCAGCUAACUGGAACUCGAUUGACACUGAGGGACGAAAGCGUGGGGAGCGAAGAGGAUUAGAUACCCUCGUAGUCCACGCCCUAAACGAUGAUAACUAAGUGUUCCUGAUUUGCGGGAGUGCUGUAGCUAACGCGUUAAGUUAUCCACCUGAGGAGUACGGUCGCAAGAUUAAAACUCAAAGGAAUAGACGGGGACCCACACAAGCAGUGGAUCACGUGGUUUAAUUCGACAAUAAACGGGGAAUCUCACCCAGACUUGACAUCCUGAGAAUCUUUCAGAAAUGAGAGAGUGCCUUUACGGGAACUCAGUGACAGGUGCUGCAUGGUUGUCGUCAGCUCGUGCCUUGAGGUGUUCGGUUAAGUCCGUUAACGAGCGCAACCCAUGUUCUUAGUUACUAUGUCUAAGAAGACUGCCUUGGUUAACAAGGAGGAAGGUGUGGAUGACGUCAAAUCAGCAUGGCUUUUACGUCUGGGGCUACACACAUGAUACAAUGGUCUGUACAAAGAGCAGCAAUACCGCGAGGUGGAGCUAAUCUUCAAAGCAGAUCUCAGUCCGGAUUGGAGUCUGAAACUCGACUCCAUGAAGUUGGAAUUGCUAGUAAUCGUGAAUCAGAUAUGUCACGGUGAAUAUGUUCCUGGGUCUUGUACUCACCGCCCGUCACGGCAUGGGAGUUGGUAAUAUCGGAAGCUCCUCUAGUAAUAUGGGGGUCCAUGGUAGGACCAAUGACUGGGCUGAAGUCGUAACAAGGUA